rnacentral:rRNA from 1 species
GAUGAACGCUGGCGGCGUGCCUAAUACAUGCAAGUCGAGCGAACAGACGAGGAGCUUGCUCCUCUGACGUUAGCGGCGGACGGGUGAGUAACACGUGGAUAACCUACCUAUAAGACUGGGAUAACUUCGGGAAACCGGAGCUAAUACCGGAUAACAUGUUGAACCGCAUGGUUCAACAGUGAAAGACGGUCUUGCUGUCACUUAUAGAUGGAUCCGCGCCGCAUUAGCUAGUUGGUAAGGUAACGGCUUACCAAGGCAACGAUGCGUAGCCGACCUGAGAGGGUGAUCGGCCACACUGGAACUGAGACACGGUCCAGACUCCUAAGGGAGGCAGCAGUAGGGAAUCUUCCGCAAUGGGCGAAAGCCUGACGGAGCAACGCCGCGUGAGUGAAGAAGGUCUUCGGAUCGUAAAACUCUGUUAUUAGGGAAGAACAAAUGUGUAAGUAACUAUGCACGUCUUGACGGUACCUAAUCAGAAAGCCACGGCUAACUACGUG